GAUGAACGCUAGCGGCAGGCCUAACACAUGCAAGUCGAGGGGCAGCACAUAAAGUGGUUUACUACUUUUGGUGGCGACCGGCGGACGGGUGCGUAACGCGUAUGCAACCUGCCUCCAACAGGGGGAUAACGGAGAGAAAUUUCCACUAAUACCCCCUAAUAUCAGAAUCGGCAUCGGUUUUGGUUGAAAACUCCGGUGGUUGGAGAUGGGCAUGCGUUGUAUUAGAUAGUUGGUGAGGUAACGGCUCACCAAGUCAACGAUACAUAGGGGGACUGAGAGGUUAGCCCCCCACACUGGUACUGAGACACGGGCCAGACUCCUACGGGAGGCAGCGGUGAGGAAUAUUGGUCAAUGGGGGCAACCCUGAACCAGCCAUGCCGCGUGCAGGAAGACGGCUCUAUGAGUUGUAAACUACUUUUACAAGGGGAUAAAUCGGUGUACGUGUACACCGUUGAAGGUACCUUGGGAAUAAGGAUCGGCUAACUCCGUGCCAGCAGCCGCCGUAA
rnacentral:rRNA from 1 species